AAAUAAGAAGCAAUAAUUUGCCUUUAGUUUCGACCUAAAAAUUAGAUUUAACAUCCUUAUUUU
rnacentral:tRNA from 1 species